rnacentral:lncRNA from 1 species
ACCUAUCUGAAUUAUUGUGUGCUGAGCAUUUAAUAUUCCUGUUUAAUUUCUGAGUGUAUCUCUUGACGCUUUCUGUUGGGUUCAGAAUGUUUGCUGGACAGCAUUUCAAACGUUCCUGAUAGCAAGUCUGAGGAAAGUGAAGCCUCUGAUGCCUCUCACAGUGAAGGGGAUGACAGUGUCUCUCCUGAUGACUGGUACAACGUGCAUUUUUACCUGGAUGAGGGGGAUGAUGAAGUCUUCAGUAUACCUGACUCUCCAAAGCUGCAAAGUGCUUCUGAGCAUGAGGUGGAGGACUGGGAUAAAGAAUUGGAGGAGUCUGCAUAUGGUCCUUAUGAUGCUGAUGAUCUGUCCUGUGGAAGCUUUCAGGAAAAUAAUGUUUUGGCCUCACCCGUGUGGAAGGAGGACUGGUUUUACUACCCAGGCUGUCACCACACAGCUUGCUUUGUUUGUCCACCACGAGUCAGUGCAAAGGUUGAGAGUGGCCAGUUUGAUGAUGCAGAUGAGUGAGGCUGACCCUGGGCAGAAGUAAGUUUGGCCUCUGAGUUGGAAUGUGUUCUUCACUGACUGAGCUGUGUCAAGUCCUUUAGUUUGCUUGCAGAGUUCUGCCCAAGGCCAGAAAUGCGACACCACCUCCCAAGUUUUGCUCAGGUGCUGCUGAGCUGUUCUAAACUGCCCACACUGGGCUCUGGAGACACGAGUGCAGGUGCUGGCUGUGACAGUGCGUUUCUGGAGGUUUUGGUUGUGUUCUGUAGAUCUGUGUUGUUACUAAUUAAUUGCUUGAGAAGAAGUGUUCGGUUUCUAAACUCAGAUUGUUUAUUUGCAGGGCUUUGUGAGUUUUGACAUGCUGGUCCCUGUGUGUGUAACUCUUAGUUCCUUCUCCUUUUCACCUGAUGCUGUCAGAUGGGUUUGGAGAGCUUUAAAAACUCUCCCUCCUUCAAGCUUCUCUGUUGUAUUUCCAUGUGGUUCUAAUUGCCAUUUGUGAUUCUGAUACUGCUUUUCAACAAAAUGAGCUGUGGCAAGUACAGAAUGAGUUGUUUUGUGUUUAUUUUUAUGUAUUCCACUAUAAAGGAAUUAAAAAUACCUGAUACACAUUUUGCAAGCACACAUGAUGAUACACAGCAGGGCCUGCUCCAUCCAGUAGGAAUGCUGGGUGCCUAAGGCUGCCUCCCAACAAAGCUUUCUCCACAUCAGACCUUCUUGUUCUAUGGGCAUAUAACCCUGCAGUCCCAGUGUUGUCUUUAUUACACUCUCAUGCAGCAUCAGAUGUGUAAUGACAAAGACAUUUAUAUACCUAUUGUAGUACAUAAUCUGUGUGUCCUGCACAGUAGUGGAUUAAGGUUCCUGAUAGUGUUUGUUGUGGCAAAUGAGAUGAGAACACAAAAUACCUCCCUCAGAGAAUAGCUGGAACUAGAACCAUCUCCUCCUUGCUUUGCUGUGGAAUGAAAGGAAAUG